rnacentral:rRNA from 1 species
GACGAACGCUGGCGGCGUGCUUAACACAUGCAAGUCGAGCGGAAAGGCUCCUUCGGGGGUACUCGAGCGGCGAACGGGUGAGUAACACGUGAGUAAUCUGCCCUGCGCUCUGGGAUAGCCACCGGAAACGGUGAUUAAUACCGGAUAUGACCGCUACACGCAUGUGUUGGUGGUGGAAAGUUUUUCGGCGCAGGAUGUGCUCGCGGCCUAUCAGCUUGUUGGUGAGGUAACGGCUCACCAAGGCUUUGACGGGUAGCCGGCCUGAGAGGGUGACCGGUCACACUGGGACUGAGACACGGCCCAGACUCCUACGGGAGGCAGCAGUGGGGAAUAUUGGACAAUGGGCGGAAGCCUGAUCCAGCAACGCCGCGUGAGGGAUGACGGCCUUCGGGUUGUAAACCUCUUUCAGUACCGACGAAGCGAAAGUGACGGUAGGUACAGAAGAAGGACCGGCCAACUACGUGCCAGCCGCCGCCGUAAGAC